CUGAGAAUUUACCUUGGACGUUUCAGUAGAGUACAGCAGAUUUAUUCUCCUGGCCUCUAUGACUCUGGUAUACCUCUCCAGUAGACCUUCAGUGAGUACUUCACAUGGUCUUGGUCAUCGGCCACAGAGGGUCCCAGUUUUCAGCGUAGCCAUGACUUCAUCUCUCAGAGAGGAUCUUGCUUUCUGCACACUGAUUGGUCGUAUACAGUAUCCACUGGCAACACACGCACCUUGAGUGGGAACAUGAAAUCCUGUUCAAAAAGACUUAUCGUAGAUGAAUGACCUCUUUUUAAGAAACUGGAGGUUGUUUUGGUGAAAACAUGUUUU